AUAGCAACAGCAGCGUAGCUGAACAUCUUACGGAUGGCCCAGGGCUCCAAAGGCUCGUUUCCUAAGUGAGAGAGAGCCUGGCUGAAGCUGUAUUACCAUUCAUUCUCCAGCCUCCGAAGUCUCAAAGCAUCACUUCCACCAUACUCUAACUGUCAAGACAAACACAAAGGCCCAGAGCCUGUUCUGCUGGGACACAGAAUCACUUGCUCCAUCUCAUACAUUGAUGAUGAUUAAUUUGUAUGUGUACCUUCCAAAAAAGAUGGUUGUGUUUGAAUGGAGGCCUUCUGGACAGGAAAAUAUGGAGAGUGCGUGCUUUGGAUUCAAGACUGGGAAUGAGGGGACCAGAAACCUAUUCUGUGGCUGUUUCUUGUUAGGACUUUCCUAAGCCUCUGGAAAAGUGCAAAGUACAAUUAACAUUUGAGUCUGUCUGAGUCAUGAAGAAAUGGAGAUUACUGAAAAUAAUUCAUUUUGGUAUCUUCUUACAUCCUGAGAGACUAAUCUUUCCAAGUUCAUCUGAGGCUCCUCUUCUCCAUGACAACCUCAUCCAGGGAUUUCUUCCUGUCCUGGUGUUUUAUGACAUCAUCCUCAUCUCGCUUGUAAGGAUAAUAGCCUUCCUCCAAACCUCACACACUUUUGGAGGAGAUCACUUUUUUUAAAGUGCAUGGAAAUGUUUUGAAACAGUGAAAUCUAUAAUGAUAGGUUUCAUAAUUCUAACAUCCACACCAUAUGAAUCACAUCCUUCCUGAGAUAAUGAGCACACAAUUGCCUGGAUACCUGAAGGAAUGGAGACAGCGGCAGAAAACACUGCAGAGAGGUGGAAACAUCCGUUAAUAUUUUAAAAUCCCAUUACUGCUACCAACAAUAAUAAUGGAUGCAUAGAAAUAGAUCUGGAUUAGCUGAGCUUGAAACAGUCCAUCUCACACACACACAAAAGAAUUUCAGAUACAGUGAACCCACAUGUUGAAGCUUUCUAGUAUAAUAAAAAUUUCAACUGUUCUGUUGAAUCAUCUGCCUGAUUGGAGGCUACAGAAAAGAUGUCAUCUUAGGAGUGCUUGCUCUGAGUGAGGCUCAUCUUCAAAUCUGAAUGACCACAAGGAGAUUUGAUUAUACAUGUGAACACCUCAGAAGGCACAGCCCACCCAGAAGGCAGACAGGUCAGGCUGCUUUUUCUUCAUUGCUUGGAUUCAAUCCUCCGGGCGGCUCAGGCUCAAACAUAACUUAAGCAUGAUUAAACUUUAGAAGAAGCUGCCAGGAAGACUGUGAAAUCUUCAUGCCCAAGGAUCCCUAAAAUUAGGAGCAACAACCACUUGGCUCAGACGGUUUAUGGAGGCAAAGGUUUGGAUGGGAUUAGAGAUUUCUAAAUGUGAGUUCGUGUCCUCUGCCAGACCACCUUACUUCCACCAUUCCUCAGCAAAUCAAGAAAAACAGGAGAAAAGACAUGCCUUUCCAUAAGUUAAAUCUAUUCUGUUUUAAUUCUAUAUUAUAUCUGCUGUACAACUUCUUUUGUUUGUAACACCAUAUUGUUGCUAGUAACUGGAAAUUAAUUUUCACAUGCCUCAGCUUAGAAAAAUAAAAAGCAGCCCUGCAUC
rnacentral:lncRNA from 1 species